AGGACCCUCCUGAGAGUUGUGGGCAAAGAGAAAAGCAAAUACCACAAUUCUCAUGGAGAACCCCAGCCUUUUCUCUUGGGACCAGGGCUUCCCUUAGAUUGGGGGGGAGGGAGAGGGAGAGACUCCCCGCCCUUGUAUUGAGGUGUAGGGGGACCCUGGAAGAGAAUGGGUAGCUCUGGAGCUACAGGAUUUUCCCUUUCAAUGCCAAUGCUCAUGAGGCAAAAGGGUACGAGCUUCCAAGAUUCACCAGCCUCCAUUGAAGAAGAAAUGGGAACAGGGUUUGCCUCAAGAGUACGGCAUUCCCCAAAUGCCUAAGGAUAUCACCUCAAGUGCAAAGAGGAAUAAAAGGUUAGCCCUUA